UGCGACCAUGUCUGACAAACCAGAUACGGCUGAGAUUGAGAAAUUUGAUAAGUCUAAAUUGAAGAAGAUGGAAACACAAGAGAAAAAUCCACUGCCUUCCAAAGAAAUGAUCCAACAGGAGAAGCAAGCAAGCGAGUCUUAUUAG